rnacentral:rRNA from 1 species
GCCUAAAGCGUCCGUAGCCGGCUCUGUUAGUUUUCGGUUAAAUCCAUAUGCUCAACAUAUGGGCCGCCGGGAAUACUACAAAGCUAGGGAGUGGGAGAGGUAGACGGUACUCCGUAGGAAGGGGUAAAAUCCUUUGAUCUAUGGAUGACCACCAGUGGCGAAGGCGGUCUACCAGAACACGUUCGACGGUGAGGGAUGAAAGCUGGGGGAGCAAACCGGAUUAGAUACCCGGGUAGUCCCAGCUGUAAACUAUGCAAACUCAGUGAUGCAUUGGCUUGUGGCCAGUGCAGUGCCGCAGAGAAGUCGUUAAGUUUGCCGCCUGGGAAGUACGUACGCAAGUAUGAAACUUAAAGGAAUUGGCGGGGGAGCACCACAAGGGGUGAAGCCUGCGGUUCAAUUGGAGUCAACGCCAGAAAUCUUACCCGGAGAGACAGCAGAAUGAAGGUCAAGUUGAAGCCUUUACCAGACAAGCUGAGAAGUGGUGCAUGGCCGUCGCCAGCUCGUGCCGCGAGGUGUCCUGUUAAGUCAGGUAACGAGCGAGAUCCUUGCCUCUAGUUGCUACCAUUACUCUCAGGAGUAGUGGGGCGAAUUAGCGGGACUGCCGUAGUUAAUACGGAGGAAGGAGAGGGCCACGGCAGGUCAGUAUGCCCCGAA